AUUCAAAGCAUAGCACCCUUCGGCUUCAGAGAAGCUCCAGCCCUGUUGUCACCAAGCAGGUUCCCCCUAGGCAGAGCGCCAAGAAGCAGCCCAGGCGAUCCCAAGGCGCACAAGUGCUCUCACCAGGCUGCGCGCUGGCGGGUCGGUGCACAGGGACGGGGUCGCCGCCCACGCGCGCUUGGUUCAGGGAGCCCAGGCUGUCCCUACCCGCGGCUACAAAAGCUCGCCGAGUCUUCCUGUCCACCCAAUCGCCCCACAUGUCAGCGGUUGGUCGCCUCGCGGUGCAGUGCUGGGCACGCGAGCCCCUCCCGCAGUCAUUCUCAGCACAAGCACCAGCCUGGAGCCCCGCAGCGACAGAGCUGAGAGCCCCCAAGCCGCAGAGGUCGUGCGGAGCAGAACAGAAGAAACACACGUGUUCUUGUGUGUAAACCCAGUCCAUGGAAGAGACCGUCUGCUUGUCCCUCCUGAUCUCUGGGCCCAGACAACCAGUAGUCACCAUUCCAAGUGAGGGGUGGCUGCAACUCUACAGCCCCGUUCGUCUCUCCUCACUGUCAAAGCUGCUGAGACCCCAGACUCGACACUUGAAAGAAACCCAUGUCUGUGAAGCACUUGUGGACCAUUCAAGAUUGUGGAAGAAUCACUCAAGAGAAGGAGAUAGCAAUAUUUGCAGAUAUGCAAACUGGCCCCUUGCAUGCACAUCCUGGAGCACGUCCUGGAGCCUUUAGAGGAGACGGCUGCUGCUGUUCCAGUCUCUCCUUAGGCAGACUUGAGUUUCUACCCACUCUUCCCAAGCAGCCGCCCCUCCGCACCCGAGCGAGCCAAAGACCUGGCGGGCUGAGUACUCACUGCGCGCUGGACACAUGCUGAGCCGGCACUGCAGGGACACAGGGCGAGCCGCUGGAUGCAGACCUGUGGCCGCGGCAGUUGGGCUUAUCUUGCCCAUGAAGUUGCCUCUGAAGAACCAAGUCCAACUGUGUAUGCUGAGAGAUGUCUGGCUACUUCCUGAUUGACAGUUCUGGCAAGGUGGCAUUGGGCCCUGGCUUUUCCUCUGGAGGCAUCAUCACUUAUAGGAAAAUGUCCCCUGAAGUCCAAGGAUCAAAGCUGCUGGAACACUGAGAAGCUGAACAAAGGAGAACUGUUUCUCAUCAAACCCAGACUUCCAGACUUCCAAUAGGGUAGAAUGAGCAAGUCAGCAAAUCAUCUUCCUUGGAAACAGUGAUAAAACUAGAUGACAUUGUCAACAACAGCCAUUUCAGAAAUCUAGAAAAUGACCAAAGGCAAACAACAAACUGAGAAGCAUUUUUUUUUCCAUGAAAAAUCGCUCUAUUUCUGCAAAAAUAGUGGGAGUCUAUGGCUUCUCAUCCAGGGCUGUUUCUCUCCCCACCCCAGCUCAGUCAGUACAAAGGUUCUGGCAGCAUGAGGCAGACUGAACAGACCUGAAGUUUGAUUGCUGGAAGAAACUGACUCCAGGUUUGGCAGAGGGUGAGAAACCUACUCCCAGCCAUGUUGUCUGGUGACACAGUGACCUUAGGGACAAGUGAAUAGGGAAGGCCAGUGAUUCAUUAACCUGAGGUUGCAGUCCUGGUUGGGGAAAGCAUCAGAAUGGCAGAUAAGCUAGAAAUUUAGUAGGGAUAUGCUGGAAAUGAGACAACCCCAAAGGGGCUUGACCCCAAAGUUGUCCACACACCCCAGCUGCCUUCUGAGCAGAUGUAGGGAGAGACCAGAGAAGGCCUAGGCUAUCCACACAUCUCUGGCUAACCCAGGCUGUAAACCUGUGGAGGAGACACAAGAGGUGGAUUGAUUGCUAAUGGGCAUAUGGGGGAUCUUACUGGUUGAUAGGAACAUUCUCAAAUUGGAUUGUGGUGAUGCUUGCACAACUCUAAGUUUAUCCCAAAUUGCUAAAUUUUACACUAAAAAGGGGUGAACUUUAGGGUAUAUAAAUUAUACAUCAAUAAAGUUGUCAUAAAGCAUUCACAUUCUAAUAAAUGGCUCUAAGAAAUAUUGUUUUGAAAAUUUUCCUUUGGUAUAUUAUGGCACUCCAAAAUCAACUUCUGUCAGAACAAUAAUUAACUAUUUCUGAUUAUAGAUAUUGGUCAUCUACAAUGAUUUAUUCAGUCUUUUAUGUCCCGCAUAAGGGCUUAGAAUGCUUUAAAUUUCUAAGACCAUCAAUAGCCAGGACUCACCUGAAAACUAUAUAUAUUUUUAAAAAGACGUAUGCUCUGGGACACCAUAUGCUAACAUUUGUUGAGCACACAGUUUGCUACAGAGGUUAAGAGGUGUACUAUUUAAAUCUAACUUCCUCAAGGGGCUCACACUAUUACAAUAGUAAGCUAAAGAGAUAGAAGAAAAGUUUAUAUAUAAAAUCUCAGUACAGGGAUGGGGUUGGUAACAAAUAAGAUGCUGCCACUUACACUUGAUAAAUUAUAAAAUAUCUAUUGCAUUCAUUAUUGGAGGCUGACCCUUAUAAAAACCUUGUGGGUACUGCAAAAGACAGGGAAACCGAGGCUCAGAGUGGUUCAGCAACUUGUGUGAGGUCACAUACCUCAUGUCAAAGCUGAGAUUUAAAUGUGUGUGGCUAGGCUGGACAUGGUGGCUCACACCUGUAAUCCUAGCACCCUGGGAGGCUGAGGUGGAACACACUCCUUGUUUGUGUCCAGGAGUUCAAGACCAGCCUGGACAACAUAAUGAGACCUCAUCUCUACAAAAAAUAAAAAAUUAGCUGGGUGUGGGGCCACGCACCCCAAGGUUCUCAGGAGGCUGAGGCAGGAGGACUGCUUGAAAUCAGGAGGUUGAGCCUGCAGUGAGCUGUGAUCAUGCCACUGCACUCUGCCUGGGUGACAGAGUGAGACCCUGUCUCAAAAAAAUAAAAAUAAAAACAAAUAAAUGUGUGUGGCUGAUUCUCAUGCAAAUAUUGGUGAAGAUCUGGUAGUGAUGUAAAUUGGUAGAACCUCAGUGGGAGAUAACUUUGCAAUAGCUAUCAAAUGAAAACUGUGUAUAUUCUUUGUUUCAGGAAUUUCACUUCUAAGAUGUUUUUAAUAUAGCAGAAAUGGUUAUCCAUAAAGAAUUAGUUCAAUACAUUUUAUCUGUAAAAUGGAAUGCAAUGCGGCCAUUAAAAAGGAGGCAUAUCUGAGUAUACUAAUAUAGAAUGGUCUGCAAGAUAUAUUAACUUUUUUACAAAAGCUGUUCCCCACACUUCUUCGUGUUGUUUGAAAAGACGUGAAGGCUCAGACAGGCCUUCAUUGUGACUUGCCCAGGAUGAGUAGCAGGGCUGGAAUUCCUACUCAGGAGUCCAGAUUUAUAGGCUUCCUCUUUGCUUUAUCCUAUUUCAUAGCUGUCUCUGUUGCCAGAGCCAUGGAAGG
rnacentral:lncRNA from 1 species